rnacentral:rRNA from 1 species
GAUGAACGCUGGCGGCGUGCUUAACACAUGCAAGUCGAACGUGAGGGUGCAGCGAUGUGCCUGAAAGUGGCGAACGGGUGAGUAACACGUAGAUGACCUGCCCUGGAGUGGGGGAUAACCAUUGGAAACGGUGGCUAAUACCGCAUACAUCCGGAGAACUGGGAAGUUUUCUGGGGAAAGCUCUGGUGCUUCAGGAGGGGUCUGCGUCCGAUUAGCUAGUUGGUGGGGUAAAGGCUCACCAAGGCGACGAUCGGUAGCUGGUCUGAGAGGACGAUCAGCCACACGGGAACUGAGACACGGUCCCGACUCCUACGGGGGGCAGCAGUGAGGAAUAUUGGGCAAUGGGCGGAAGCCUGACCCAGCAACGCCGCGUGGAGG